rnacentral:misc_RNA from 1 species
AGUAUGUGCAAUUUGUAAUGUGGUGUGCAAUAGUGAGAAUGUAUACAAAGAUCAUCUCACCGGGCGCAAGCAUGCUGCAAUGCUAAAGAAACAUGGAGUAAUAAUGGUUGCUGCCACCUGAAUAAAAAAUAUUUGGAGUAGAAGAUUUGGCAAACCUAGUACUUCUGUGAUUUUCAUUCAUUACUAUGUCCAUAUUCUCGUUAGAAGGUGUUACCUGUUCUGCAUUGAUGAUGUUCUAGACAACAAACUUCCAUGCACAAUGUUCUUGUUGGCUAUUGAAAGACACAUUCAUUAAAGAGACUUCUGGUGUUCAUCGAGCAUUUUCACGAUAAUCCUAAAAUCCUUUUAGCCUCGAGACAUGGGUCCAUUCACUUGUAUACAAUUGCCUUUGUCUUCCAGAUGUUCACAUGUGAAUCUCUGGCACAGCGUGGGAGACCAAGAAUCUUAUGCAUGCUGUUGUAAAUUUUACUUUUAAUACCUUUUUUUUUUAUCCAUCUUUUACUGGUAUCUCUUUAAUGGUAUUGUUUCAGGUUAAUUUAUAUGAGUUGGAAGAAUGCAUGUGUGAUCGUCUAUUUGAUGUAGUCUAGAUACGAGGCUGGGGGUGGGCACGGGCCGUUUUAGAGCCUGAAUCAGCAGUUUUGGGUCAAGGGGAAUAAAAUUGGACCAUAGAGUUUCCUUCAAUUCAGUGGCCGGGUUUAAAGUGAUGCCACAAACAGAGGAGUUUUUCAUUUACAUGUAUAGAAAGUAAGAGAUUUCCUUCACUGCUGCACUCAGGUGGAGCAUUAAAGACGAAAGCAUGUCAAUGCAGAAUAAUACUGCAAAAUGAAUGUUUCUUGGUUGAUUUGGCUGGCUAUGUAUAGGAUUUGAACUCAAGACCUUCAGUACCAAUAAAGCUCAUUGGUAUGAAUGUGACCAUCUAAAUGAUGGGUAUGGUGGAG